AUCCGCCGCCUCCACCUUCCAUCCGGCGCCGGCUUUCGGCGCGACGGUCGCCGCGUUCCAUCGUCGCGCGGCCCUUCGGGCGCCCGAGCCCGCAAUGUCGGGCCCCAACGGAGACCUGGGGAUGCCGGUGGAGGCGGGAGCGGAAGGCGAGGAGGACGGCUUCGGGGAAGCAGAAAGGUACAACUUGCUGGGGUAAAGCAGAGCUGAAAUUCAAACCCAAGUGACCCUGACCCCCAAGUCCAAUCCUGAGUUUCGGCUGUUACCAACCUGGAGGACCCUGGGCAGGUUCCUUCCUUCUGAGGCCUCGGUUUCCCUAGCUAUAUACCAUGAGGGGGUUGGACUUUAAGAUGCAGCCGAUUUCCCAGGACGCUGUCGUCUGUGAGGGUGGCUGGCUCUAGGCAACGGGUGCCCUUUCCUAGAACACAGGCACAUAUGCACCCAUAACCCAGAUACGCUCCUCCAGCUCCUCCACCGGCUGCUUCCCCCUUGGUCUCAAGCUGGCAGCUGAGUGUAUGUGAGUCAUGGGCUGGCUCAGAACUGGGUCCCGCAGUGGGCACAGGCCCAGACCUUGAGUCCUCAGGGACACUGUGUUGCUGAGCAGGGCAGCUCUGGAGUGGCCGUGGAGGGGAGGGAGUGAUGGUUUCUAGUGGAGACCAGGGAAGGCUUCUUGGAGGAGGCAUUUUGAGCUGGUCCUUGAAGGGCUGUUGUGGUUGAGGCAUUCUAGGUUGCAGGGAUAGUUGAGCAAUGGCGGAGAGGCUGGAAAGUCAGAGGCUUCAUUCAUUCACUCACUCAGUCAUUCAACAAAUGCUUAUUGCAAAACUGUGAGGGCACCAGGGAGCCAGCAGCGAACACAGGACCGUUCAUCUUUCAUGGGGAAACAUAACAGCACUCAGAUAAGCACAGCAGUCAAUCCUGGAGAGAAGGUCGUGGAGGGCUGAGGAGGGCUAGGGGCUCAGCAUAGAGGCCUGAUCCAGUCUGGGGCAUUGGGUGGGCUCCCGGUGGUGACAUCCAUACUGAGACUUGAAGGAUGAGUGGGACUCAUCCAGGAGGAGAGAAGGGAAGGAAGAUGGGAGGACCCAGCACCUUCCAGGCAGAGACAGCAGCAUGUUCAAAGGGCCUGAGAAUACGCUGCCAUCAACUCCAUGCUGGACCAGAUCAACUCCUGUCUGGACCACCUGGAGGAGAAGAAUGACCACCUCCACGCCCGCCUCCAGGAGCUGCUGGAGUCCAACCGGCAGACACGCCUGGAGUUCCAGCAGCAGCUCGGGGAGGCCCCCAGUGAUGCCAGCCCCUAGGCUCCAAGAGCCCCCAACCGGGACCCAACCCUGCCUCCCUGGGCUAGGCUCUGGCCUGGGCACUCACCCCCUGGCUUAGACACCUUCUCAAGGGCUGGCCUUCAGGGACCCCUGGUGGGUCUGCCUGCCUGGGCCACCCUUCCUGCCUGGGCCUCCCCUUGGCCUACCUGGGCCAGCCCCCACCACCUGGCAUGCCCUCCUGGGGCCAAGAGUGGGCCUGCAACCCACCCACUUGCCUGCCCACCCAACUCCUGGGCGCUCCCCACUCUGCCCAG
rnacentral:lncRNA from 10 species